rnacentral:misc_RNA from 1 species
GAAAUGCGAUAAGUAAUGUGAAUUGCAGAAUUCCGUGAAUCAUCGAAUCUUUGAACGCACAUUGCGCCCUCUGGUAUUCCGGGGGGCAUGCCUGUCCGAGCGUCAUUGCGAACCCCUCAAGCACGGCUUGUGUGAUGGGCCCUCCCGCGUCUUGGUCGUCAAGACGGGCCCGAAAUGCAGUGGCGGCUUCGCGGUUAUCCGAUCAGCCAGAGCGUAUGGGGACUCUCUCUCUGUCACACGCCCGCGGCGCGGACCGACGCCUGUCGACCUUUAUUCAUCUCGUCUCGGUUGACCUCGGAUCAGGUAGGGAUACCCGCUGAACUUAAGC